UGGGGAAUAUUGGACAAUGGGCGCAAGCCUGAUCCAGCAAUGCCGCGUGUGUGAAGAAGGCCUGCGGGUUGUAAAGCACUUUCAGUGGGGAGGAAGGCCUCGGCGUUAAUAUCGUCGAGGAUUGACGUUACCUACAGAAGAAGCACCGGCUAACUCUGUGCCAGCAGCCGCGGUAAUACAGAGGGUGCAAGCGUUAAUCGGAAUUACUGGGCGUAAAGGGCGCGUAGGUGGUUAAUUAAGUCAGAUGUGAAAUCCCCGGGCUUAACCUGGGAAUUGCAUUUGAAACUGAUUGGCUAGAGUACGGGAGAGGGAAGUGGAAUUUCCGGUGUAGCGGUGAAAUGCGUAGAUAUCGGAAGGAACACCAGUGGCGAAGGCGACCUCCUGGCCCGUUACUGACACUGAGGCGCGAAAGCGUGGGGAGCGAACA
rnacentral:rRNA from 1 species